rnacentral:ncRNA from 1 species
UAAACAGAUAAGAGAAUCCUUAACAAGUAAAUGUGGAUUCUAAUUUAAAUCCUUUGACGAGGAACAAUUGCAGGGCAAGUCUGGUGCCAGUAGCCACGAUAACUCUAGCUCCAA